rnacentral:rRNA from 1 species
GAUGAACGCUGGCGGCGUGCCUAAUACAUGCAAGUCGAGCGAAUGGAUUAAGAGCUUGCUCUUAUGAAGUUAGCGGCGGACGGGUGAGUAACACGUGGGUAACCUGCCCAUAAGACUGGGAUAACUCCGGGAAACCGGGGCUAAUACCGGAUAACAUUUUGAACCGCAUGGUUCGAAAUUGAAAGGCGGCUUCGGCUGUCACUUAUGGAUGGACCCGGGUCGCAUUAGCUAGUUGGUGAGGUAACGGCUCACCAAGGCAACGAUGCGUAGCCGACCUGGGAGGGUGAUGGACAACACUGGGACUGAGACACGUCCUAGAGUCGUACGGGAGGCAGCAGUGGGGAAUCUUCCGCAAUGGACGAAAGUCUGACGGAGCAACGCCGCGUGAGUGAUGAAGGCUUUCGGGUCGUAAAACUCUGUUGUUAGGGAAGAACAAGUGCUAGUUGAAUAAGCUGGCACCUUGACGGUACCUAACCAGAAAGCCACGGCUAACUACGUGCCAGCCGCCGCCGUAA